UACGUAGGGUGCAAGCGUUAAUCGGAAUUACUGGGCGUAAAGCGUGCGCAGGCGGUUAUGCAAGACAGAUGUGAAAUCCCCGGGCUCAACCUGGGAACUGCAUUUGUGACUGCAUGGCUAGAGUACGGUAGAGGGGGAUGGAAUUCCGCGUGUAGCAGUGAAAUGCGUAGAGAUGUGGAGGAAUACCGAUGGCGAAGGCAGCCCCCUGGGAUAACACUGACGCUCAUGCACGAAAGCGUGGGGAGCAAACAGG
rnacentral:rRNA from 1 species